AACGAACGUUAGCGGCGCGCUUAACACAUGCAAGUCGCGCGAGAAAGGGCUUCGGCCCCGGUAAAGCGGCGCACGGGUGAGUAACACGUAGGUAAUCUACCCCCAGGUGGUGGAUAACGUUCCGAAAGGAGCGCUAAUACAGCAUGAGACCACGACCCCGAGAGGGGAUGAGGUCAAAGCCGGCCUCUUCACGAAAGCUGGCGCCAGGGGAUGAGCCUGCGGCCCAUCAGCUAGUUGGUAGGGUAAUGGCCUACCAAGGCGAAGACGGGUAGCUGGGCUGAGAGGAUGAUCAGCCAAACUGGAACUGAGAAACGGUCCAGACUCCUACGGGAGGCAGCAGUGGGGAAUCUUGCGCAAUGGGCGAAAGCCUGACGCAGCGACGCCGCGUGAGUGAUGAAGGCCUUCGGGUUGUAAAGCUCUGUGGAAGGGGACGAAUAAGUGUUGGCUAACAUCCAGCGUGAUGACGGUACCCCUUUAGCAAGCACCGGCUAACUCUGUGCCAGCCGCCGCCGUAAUAC
rnacentral:rRNA from 1 species